CUGUGUCCAGGCAUUUCUGUGCUCCCUCUGUAAAGCAGGGAAGAUGAGUGGACGGGGUGGUGUGUGAUACAGUGCCUGGAGCUGCAGACAAACCUGGUCUAAGGUAAGAGAAAGGCACAGGACACAGCCUAAGCUCUAGGAGAAAAUGAGCUUCUGGAAGACAAUGCUUGUGUCCAAACGCCGGCUCCAUUCUAGUAAUAAUGCUCAUAUGAAUGUCUCCUCACCAGGACCAUGACAGGAAAGCUGUGCCCCCCCAAAAGCUUCAAUGAACCUCAAAGAAAGACCAGAGUCACCAAACAAGGAACUAGAAAAGCUGUCUAAUGGCACUGUACAGGUCCCCUGCCGCGUUGCACCCCAGCUGCAGCCCAGAUCCUCGAUCAUCUCUGUCACCAGCUUCAGCCUGAGCUGCUCCUGGGUGCCUAGCCAGUCUCCUCUUGGAAAGGAUGGGGUCCGCAGACCCUUUCCAACUCCGGAGCCUCUCCCACAUGUUAGACGCACUAAUGUACCAUUAUUAGCAGAGCAGAACACUGGCUUCAAUAGUUCAAGUAUCUGGUACAAGCUAUUUGUUUCCAAUGAUUUCAUCUGGAAAAGUGAAUAUUCUCAAAGGAAGAGAUAGAGAUCAGUAAAUAAAGUGACUUAUCUCUCUGGAACAUUGUG
rnacentral:lncRNA from 1 species